ACCCAACAAACCCCAAGCAAAACAGCUCUAAGGAGAAGAAACACACAAUGCUUGUUAUUACCAGGACAAAACUCCCACUCCUUCAGUACUGACCAAGCUGUGGCUGUAAUAUUUGCUAUCAUCUGUCAGUCUUCACAUAAUCAGCACCCCAAGAAACAUCUGGAGAGUUACCUUGAAGAAAGCAAACCUGGUGUAUCAGUGUUGCACAAACAGCAGUGACAUCUAAGGAGAGCUGCACCGUGCUGGAGAUUAAGAAGGCACAGCAUGUGCCUCAUGUGUUCCUCCUCCUAUUUGCUUCAGGAUUUCUCUUGCUAAUGCUGUGGCAGCUGGGGAAACACGGCCGCUGCCAGCACACUGCUGCUUCUCAGGAGCGGGACAGAGGGUCCAGGGGCUGGGGAUGGCUGAGCAUUGCAGAGCACAAGGGUCGGUGGGGGCUCUCCUAGGGCUGCAGUGACUCUCACUGCCAUGCCUGAGGAAGGCUGCUUGUUGCUCCCAUAGAGCUGUGCUAUGAGGCACCAUGUGCCUGUCACAGAUCGUGGAUUUCUGUUCAAUUAGAAGGACUGAAAGGUCUCCUUGAGGAACUCAUACCUCCUACACAGGUGGUUGUUUUGGAGUGACUAGAGCCUUGUAAGCAAAAAGGCACAGAUACAUGGAUAUAUAGAUGCACAUGCAUUUGUGUACUGGGGUUCUUGUGUGCUGUGAUGCCAUUUGUACAGACGCUUCCCAGACUGGAUCAAGGCAGAAGGUGAGCUGUUUUCUGCACACAUGGCCACUAAGCCUGUGAGCUUUGCAGGCAAAGCUUCACUAGGCUGUUGGAAACAUUAUCCACUAACAUGGAGAGAUGCAUUUUGUUUGGUGGGAAAUGUGACAGAAACAAGAAGGGAGACAGACACGUUUCUGUGCUGCUUUUGUUGCAUGUGUUCGUGUUUUGACAGAUGGCCCUUCUGCUCCCUGGUGCCCAUGACGGCUGCUCUGACACGUGUGGUUGGAGGACUUGCAAUGACCAGAGGGCUCCACUAACACCUUGCUUCCUCCUCCCAUCUCCAGCCAUGAAGAUGAGAGAUUAAUUCUCAGCUGUGAUAGUCAUUGUCUUCUUGUGCAGCUUCAUCAGGAGCAACACAGACGCAGGCUUGUCUGAACCUUGAUGAUAAGCUCUCCUUGUUAAAAGCCAUUAUAUUUGCUACUAGCUGAGUGUAAUUCUGACUGACUACUGCAGUUCUCCUUUGCAUGUAAUUGAAUUCAUAUUCAUCAUAAAGCAAUGAAAAAUAAA